rnacentral:rRNA from 1 species
UACGUAGGGACCAAGCGUUGUUCGGAUUUACUGGGCGUAAAGGGCGCGUAGGCGGCUCUGUAAGUCACUUGUGAAAUCUCUGAGCUUAACUCAGAACGGCCAAGUGAUACUGCAGUGCUAGAGUGUAGAAGAGGCAAUCGGAAUUCUUGGUGUAGCGGUGAAAUGCGUAGAUAUCAGGAGGAACACCGGAGGUGAAGGCGGGUUGCUGGACUAACACUGACGCUGAGGAGCGAAAGCCAGGGGAGCAAACGGG